rnacentral:rRNA from 1 species
AUUGAACGCUGGCGGCAGGCCUAACACAUGCAAGUCGAGCGGAUGAAGGGAGCUUGCUCCUGGAUUCAGCGGCGGACGGGUGAGUAAUGCCUAGGAAUCUGCCUGGUAGUGGGGGAUAACGUCCGGAAACGGGCGCUAAUACCGCAUACGUCCUGAGGGAGAAAGUGGGGGAUCUUCGGACCUCACGCUAUCAGAUGAGCCUAGGUCGGAUUAGCUAGUUGGUGGGGUAAAGGCCUACCAAGGCGACGAUCCGUAACUGGUCUGAGAGGAUGAUCAGUCACACUGGAACUGAGACACGGUCCAGACUCCUACGGGAGGCAGCAGUGGGGAAUAUUGGGCAAUGGGCGAAAGCUUGAUCCAGCCAUGCCGCGUGUGUGAAGAAGGUCUUCGGAUUGUAAAGCACUUUAAGUUGGGAGGAAGGGCAGUAAGUUAAUACCUUGCUGUUUUGACGUUACCAACAGAAUAAGCACCGGCUAACUUCGUG